UACGGAGGGGGCUAGCGUUGUUCGGAAUUACUGGGCGUAAAGCGCACGUAGGUGGCUUUGUAAGUUAGAGGUGAAAGCCCGGGGCUCAACUCCGGAAUUGCCUUUAAGACUGCAUCGCUAGAACGUCGGAGAGGUAAGUGGAAUUCCGAGUGUAGAGGUGAAAUUCGUAGAUAUUCGGAAGAACACCAGUGGCGAAGGCGGUCAUCUGGGCCAAUACUGACGCUGAGGAGCGAAAGCGUGGGGAGCGAACAGG
rnacentral:rRNA from 1 species